rnacentral:piRNA from 1 species
UGAAUCUAAUGUGGUGUUGAUCAAAUCU